rnacentral:rRNA from 1 species
UACAGAGGUCCCGAGCGUUGUUCGGAUUCAUUGGGCGUAAAGGGUGCGUAGGCGGCGGAGCAAGUCUGAUGUGAAAUCCCGGGGCUCAACCCCGGAACUGCAUUGGAUACUGCUCUGCUAGAGUACUGGAGAGGGAACUGGAAUUUACGGUGUAGCAGUGAAAUGCGUAGAGAUCGUAAGGAAGGCCAGUGGCGAAGGCGAGUUCCUGGACAGUUACUGACGCUGAGGCACGAAGGCCAGGGGAGCAAACGGG